CCAACCUCUUCUCCUUAGUCUAACCGCCCACCGCCUCUCUCUCUCUUCUCCUUCUCUCUUUCUCUUUCUUUCUAGGGUUUUCUUUCGUCCCCAGAAAGAUUCAACACUUUUCAUCCACUUCCCGACGGCGGAGCCCAAUCCUCUGGCUCGCCUCCUUGCCUCUCUUCCGGUGCGUCGAUCUCUUUCCCCCCUUUCUGUCGGGCGCUCGGGCUUUCUCUUCUUUUCUUCUUCUCUCGUACGGUUUUGGUUCGCGUCGCCGGUGUUCGGUUUGGUUUUUCGUUAAUUGUUUGGUGGUUUUAGGCGGUGUUGGUGUUGCCGGUGGGUUAAAGAUUGCAUUUUGGUAGGGGGAGGCAUGGCGAUUUUGAAGAAUGACUCUAGGGUUUCGAAGAUGGGCGUCGAUUCGUCGCCCGGGAGUCGCGGGAGCGCCUCGAGCCAGGAGGAUGAUGAGGAGCCUCGUGCGAGGAGCGGCAAGGCGGUGUCCGAUGCUUCGGACUCGUCCGAUGUGGACUCCGGCAUGGAAUCAGAUGAGUUCGAUCCCGCGGAGCUCGGCGAGCCUGAGACUCAGUUGUGCCAAGUGGGGAACCAGAGCUGUAGCAUUCUCCUGGAGCUCUUCGACCUCCCUGACUUGGGCUCCGUCUUGUCGUUGGAUACAUGGAAUGAGUGCCUCUCGGAGGAGGAGCGUUUUGCGCUGGCUGAAUACCUCCCGGACAUGGACCGGGAGACGUUUGGUUUCACCCUUAAAGAGCUGUUUCUGGAACAAAAUUUCCACUUUGGGAGCCCACUGGGCAAUCUCUUUAAUCGGUUGAAAGGUGGUCUCUGCGAUCCCAGGAUUGUUCUUUACUGUCGGGGCUUGAGUUUCUUGCAGCAGCACGAGCACUACCAUUGCCUGUGCAAGUAUCAGAAUUCUAUGGUGAGGAAUCUCGUCUUCAUUAAGAAUGCAUUGCGAAACUGCCCACUAUACAGUAUCGAAGAAAGGCUUCGGCUUCUAAACAUCCAGAGAGCUCAGAAACCUUUGAGUUAUGGGGGGAAUGGAGAUGUUGAUAUUGAGACAGAUUCAGAGAGUGGGGAUUCUGAUGAUUGGUAUUUGAACAAACGGUUUAAGAUGGGCCAGCGUUUUGCAAAGCCUUCAUUCGAUGUCACGCAUCGUGGGACUAGCAUGGCAUGGGAGCUGGUGAAAUUUGGGAAAGAGUACUCAAAAGGUGUUUUGAAGGUUACUACUCCUUCUGUUUCAGCACUUGAAAACCCUGGAGCAUUAGGGAAGCAUUCUUCUGCCUUGAAGCAUGGAUUGGACUCAAAACCUAGAGUAGUAAUGCCACUCUUAGAUCUUCUUCAGCAGGAUAAAUUUGAAGGUUAUGAUGUGGGAGCUGCCAAAAGGACUAAACAUAAUAUAAGUGAUGAUCAUGGCGAUAUGGAUGAAGGAUGUGUGGGUUCACAAGUAGACUGGAUUGCAGGAUGCAGAAGGGCAGUAGCCAGGAAUACUUUGUUGAGGACAGGAAAGAAACAGGAGCCACAAAAAAGAUAUGAUAUGGGAAUGGAUAGUGAUGAAGACCCUGAAGGCUAUAGUGGCUCCAGUCAUUCUCAAGGCAAAAGCAGGGACAGAGAUCAGGUGGUAACUAUAGCUUUGUAUGGUCGUGAAUCUGCUGAAUGCACAAGAAAUGCUAAAUAUUCCGAGAGAGAUUGGGUGCAUCCUACAACUGGUAGAGCUCAGAAACACAUGCUAACUAAUCCCAUGCAGAAAAAUGAGCAUGGUGAACCCAUUUCCUCUGGCCAUUCAGUUAAAUCUGAUGAUUGGAAUGGCAAAGUUAAGAAUUGCAAGGUUGGAAAUGAAUAUAAAGCUGGUAAAAGUGGAGCUGGUUAUGACUUGAAAAAUAAGGCGUAUAAACCUGUUCUGGGACAGAUGGGUGACUCCUUUCUCAGCAAGGAUCCUGGAGCUAGAUUAUUACUGGGAAAAGUGAAAAAUAAUUUUACUCAGUAUGAGGGCAUGACUAGGGAUCAUUCAAAAGGCCUUACUAUGAUUUCUCAGAGUGAGGAGACAGAAUCUGAUUCAUCAGAUCAGGUUGAGGAUGAUGGAUCUCUCGAUUCUAUGGUUAAGAAGUUGGAGCAUCAAAAUGGUGAUGUUGGAGGCCAUCAUUCUGGGGUUGUUAGAUCAAUCUAUGAUUCAAAAAAGCCAAACAAGCUCAUGAAAGUAGAUAGAAAAAGUUAUUCUGACUUACGUGAUGUUGGUAGAAGCAUAUGCACACCGGACGUAGAAUCAUGCUCUGUGAAAGGGAAGAAUAGCAGAUUGGUAAAAAAAGCCCUUGUACCACGCCCAAGUGAGAAAUCGACUUAUAUAGAGAAGAGGCAUAAAAGGAUGGCCAAUGUGAGUGAUUCCCUACAACAAUCAUUUUACACUCAUGAUUAUGGCAGUGGCAUGAUGGAUGAAUACAUGGAGAAUUUAGAUGAAAUUUCCAAGUCACAAGGUGACAAGAAUAUUAUCAACAGAGUGGGGAACAUGAUGGAAGUCUCCGAUGUUCUGACAAUUAAUCCUACUCAAGAAAGAUCAAAUAUGCCCUUGGAAGGGUGCAACUCUGUUUCAAAGAAACCUAAACGGAAGGUUGACGGUCAUUUAUCUAAUGAGCUGGAUAUAUCCCUCCACCUACUGCCUAGUCAAAAGCAGCAGAUUGAUGACCUCAAUGUUGUCAGGAAGGGUAAAAGGAAAGCAGAUGCAGAAACUGAUACUUUGACUGAAGUAACUUCUGAUAUGGUAAUAUCAGAAAAGGAUACAGAAGAUGUAGAACCUAAGCCAAAGCUACAAAAAAAGCCCUUUACUCUUAUCACUCCUACUAUUCACACCGGCUUUUUGUUUUCCAUCAUACAUCUUCUUUCGGCUGUCCGGAAAGCAAUGAUUACUCCUCAUAUCGAGGACACUUCACUGACAGCCAGUCAUCUUGAGGACGGUAGGUCUAAACAGAAAACAGAAGAACACAACAAAAUGCAUCAAGUAGCCAAUGGUACACACCUUUCUCAAUCUCAUGAGAAUAUGGAUAAGCAUUCUCCAGGCUAUGCAGGACAAAACAGUUUGCCUUCUCUCACUGUUCAAGAGAUUGUUGAUCAAGUUAGAUCAAACCCAGGAGAUCCAUUCAUUCUCGAAACACAGGAACCACUUCAGGAUUUAAUUCGAGGAGUUUUGAAGGUUUUCUCAUCUAAGACAGCACCUUUAGGGGCAAAGGGAUGGAAGCCCUUAGCAUUAUAUGAAAAAUCAAACAAAAGUUGGCUGUGGGCAGGUCCUGUUACUUCUAGUUCAUCUGACAAUGAUAAUGCAGAAGAGGAAACUUCUUCAGAAGCAUGGGGAAUUCCUCAUAAGAUGCUCGUAAAAUUGGUUGAUGCUUUUGCUAAUUGGCUUAAAAGUGGUCAAGUGACCCUCCAGCAGAUUGGAAGCCUCCCUCCACCUCCUCCUUCAUUGCUUUCAAACUUGGAUGAGAAGGAAAGGUUCAAAGAUCUAAGAGCUCAAAAGAGUCUAAACACCAUUAGUCCUAGUUCUGAUGAAGUAAGAGUAUACUUCCGCAGAGAGGAAUUCUUAAGGUACUCUGUUCCAGAUAGGGCCUUCUCCUACACAGCUGCUGAUGGAAAAAAAUCUAUUGUUGCUCCAUUAAGAAGGGGUGGCGGAAAGCCAACAUCAAAAGCUCGGGAUCAUUUCAUGCUUAAACCUGAUCGACCACCACAUGUUACUAUUCUUUGUCUUGUUCGAGAUUCAGCAGCCAGAUUGCCUGGUAGUAUUGGAACUAGAGCAGAUGUUUGUACCUUAUUAAGGGACUCACAAUACAUUGUUGAAAACAUCUCUGAUGCACAAGUGAAUCAAGUAGUGAGUGGGGCUCUAGAUCGGUUGCAUUAUGAGCGUGAUCCUUGUGUACAAUUUGAUAGUGAAAGAAAAUUGUGGGUUUAUCUGCACAAGGACAGGGAAGAAGAAGAUUUUGAGGAUGAUGGUACCUCGUCCACAAAAAAAUGGAAAAGACAAAGGAAAGAUUCUAUAGACCCAUCUGACAUUGGAGCAGUUAAUGAUGUUGACACAGGAGUCUUGGCUAUUGGUGGCUCUUCUGUUGGCCUGGAUCAUGAUCAUGAUCAUGAUCUGAUUGUUGAAACUUCAUCCAGCAGGGUAGGGGAAAAAGUUGAACUUGUUUGUGAAGAUAUGGGUCCCAAUAUGGAAAAUGUCCAAUCUCUUAUGGCUUCAACCACUGUUAGCAAGAGCCACAGUAAUUGGGAGGAUCUGGGGUCAAAUCCAUUGAGGGAAAAAAGAUUGAUAUGUCAAGAAAACUCCACAGAUGAAGAUUUUGAUGAUGAAACAUUUAGUCAAGAAAGGCCAAUGCAGCUUCAGUAUGACCGUAUUAUGAAGAAUGGAUUAUACUAGAUCCUAAUCAACAUGUUUAUGUUGCGGUAUCUUUUAGGCAACACUGGCAUGCAGUGACAUGGGCGGGUACUUGCUGUAAUCAACUGGUGAGUCCGCUUUUAUUACUGAAAUUUUGAUUGAGCUGAUUGCAGGGCUAAGAUUCUAUGACCCCAAGAGACGGGGGUUGUCUAAGACCAGCCCAUACUUUAAACAAUGAUUAAGCCAUUCCAAUUAGUUGAUGGACUUCAUAGUGCUAAAAGUGCACUUUUUAUGACAGCCUGGAUGAUUAUACUACGGUCAUAAAGGUGAACCAUUCAUUACAAAUGAUGACUUGAAUGUAUGACUUGGAAGUGUCAAAGUCGCCAGAUCACCAUUACAUAUUUGAUCCACUUUGACCCUCAUGUUCUGACUCGAGUUGUGGCUUUGUACAUUUACAUUUCCCUCUUGCAGCUGCAAUCACCUAGUGCAACUAUGGAGUCCAAGUAGUAGAUUCACCAAUUUGGGAAGUCUCAACAGCCUUUCAUGCUCUAGAAGAAUAUUUUGUGAAUAAGAUACAUCUAUCCCACAGAAACCUUUGUUCCAUUCUUUUAAUUGGAGAGGAAUCACAAUGUUGAAGCUGCUCAUCUUCUCUUUUUAGUACUUGAUAGCUAACAAAAUGACAAAACUCUGGAAUUCUCAUUGCUUCCAGGUUCUUGUUAAAAGUGGAUUAUGCUCAUCAUUUCCCUC